rnacentral:tRNA from 1 species
GAGGAUGUGGCUCAAGCGGUAGCGUGCUCGCUUAGCAUGCGCGGGGUGCUGGGUUCGAUCCUCAGCACCACA